GACGAACGCUGGCGGCGUGCUUAACACAUGCAAGUCGAACGGAAAGGCCCUGCUUUUGUGGGGUGCUCGAGUGGCGAACGGGUGAGUAACACGUGAGUAACCUGCCCUUGACUUUGGGAUAACUUCAGGAAACUGGGGCUAAUACCGGAUAGGAGCUCCUGCUGCAUGGUGGGGGUUGGAAAGUUUCGGCGGUUGGGGAUGGACUCGCGGCUUAUCAGCUUGUUGGUGGGGUAGUGGCUUACCAAGGCUUUGACGGGUAGCCGGCCUGAGAGGGUGACCGGCGACAUUGGGACUGAGAUACGGCCCAGACUCCUACGGGCGGCAGCAGUGGGGAAUAUUGCACAAUGGGCGGAAGCCUGAUGCAGCAACGCCGCGUGCGGGAUGACGGCCUUCGGGUUGUAAACCGCUUUCGCCUGUGACGAAGCGUGAGUGACGGUAAUGGGUAAAGAAGCACCGGCUAACUACGUG
rnacentral:rRNA from 1 species